GUCAUUUCACCAUCAUGCAAAGAAGAUGAAGCAACCAGAGGCGGCAGCAGCAUACAGGUCUGUAGAAGCCUAACAGCCUUCCUGGAUCUCUUGCUGCACAAAUGGUCACCCUUUCUGCACACCACAGGUUGACAGGUGGUUACUGUCUUCAGCACAUGUCAAAGGGACAAUUUGCUAUCAAAUUAGUCUUCCUUUCAGUAAUGUGUGGUCCUCCCACAAAGAAAAACUGACUAUGGAGAAAAACAACUAAACCAAAUCCUCUUGGCUGACGGAAUUAUGGAG
rnacentral:lncRNA from 1 species